rnacentral:rRNA from 1 species
GUGGGGAAUAUUGGACAAUGGGCGCAAGCCUGAUCCAGCAAUGCCGCGUGUGUGAAGAAGGUCUUCGGAUUGUAAAGCACUUUCGACGGGGACGAUGAUGACGGUACCCGUAGAAGAAGCCCCGGCUAACUUCGUGCCAGCAGCCGCGGUAAUACGAAGGGGGCUAGCGUUGCUCGGAAUGACUGGGCGUAAAGGGCGCGUAGGCGGAUUGUACAGUCAGAUGUGAAAUUCCCGGGCUCAACCUGGGGGCUGCAUUUGAUACGUAUGGUCUAGAGUCCGGAAGAGGGUGGUGGAAUUCCCAGUGUAGAGGUGAAAUUCGUAGAUAUUGGGAAGAACACCGGUGGCGAAGGCGGCCACCUGGUCCGGUACUGACGCUGAGGCGCGAAAGCGUGGGGAGCAAACAGGAUUAGAAACCCCAGUAGUCC